CCUAAGUCCCAGCCUCUCUGGUUCGAAGGAGCUCUUCGUGUGGCAGGGAGGAGGGAGCCCAGGGACAGCAGUCCCACCUGGAAGAACAGCUCUUUGACAGAGACCUCACCAGAGCUUCAGAACAGAUGGAGAAGAACCCAGAAAGCAGGUCCUGAUUUGCUGCACCAGAAGCAGUUCUUCCCCCCCACCCCAACCAACAAGUGGAACCAGACAGAAACAGUUCUUAAUCCCCUGACCCAGAGAGAGCCAGAUGUGGUGAUGUCGCCACAUCCAGAAACCAUCACAGACUGUGUGACAGUGAACUCUGUGGACCAGCGUGCAAAAAGUGCUUAUCCUUUACAGUUGUCCACACUUUUCUAAGAGCAGCAGAACAUGAACAUAUCUCAGAGUCUCGUUGUGUUGCCCCCAGUGGAGUGCAGUAGCA